AUUGAACGCUGGCGGCAGGCCUAACACAUGCAAGUCGAGCGAGCGGCGCGCGGGUGAGUACUGUCUAGGAAACUGCCUGAUAGCUGGGGAUCACUACUGGAAACGGUCGCUAAUACCGCAUACCAUCAGCUGUGCCCAGAUGGGAUUAGCUAGUCGUUGGGGUAACGGCUCACCUAGGCGACGAUGCCUAGCUGGUCUGAGAGGAUGACCAGCCACACUGGAACUGAGACACGGUCCAGACUCCUACGGGAGGCAGCAGUAGGGAAUCUUCCACAAGGGGCGAAAGUCUGAUGCAGCCACGCCGCGUGAGUGAAGAAGGUCUUCGGAUUGUAAAGCACUGUCAGCAGGGAGGCGUUACCCGAAGAGGAAGCAACGGCUAACUCCGUGCCAGCAGCCGCGGUAAUAC
rnacentral:rRNA from 1 species